UACGUAGGUGGCAAGCGUUAUCCGGAAUUACUGGGCGUAAAGCGUGCGCAGGCGGUGAUGUAAGACCGAUGUGAAAUCCCCGGGCUUAACCUGGGAACUGCAUUGGUGACUGCAUUGCUGGAGUAUGGCAGAGGGGGGUGGAAUUCCACGUGUAGCAGUGAAAUGCGUAGAGAUGUGGAGGAACACCGAUGGCGAAGGCAGCCCCCUGGGCCAAUACUGACGCUCAUGCACGAAAGCGUGGGGAGCAAACAGG
rnacentral:rRNA from 1 species